CCUACGGGAGGCAGCAGUGAGGAAUAUUGGUCAAUGGGCUUACGCCUGAACCAGCCAAGUCGCGUGAGGGAAGACUGCCCUAUGGGUUGUAAACCUCUUUUGUCAGGGAGCAACGCCGGCUACGUGUAGCCGGACUGAGAGUACCUGAAGAAAAAGCAUCGGCUAACUCCGUGCCAGCAGCCGCGGUAAUACGGAGGAUGCGAGCGUUAUCCGGAUUUAUUGGGUUUAAGGGGUGCGUAGGCGGAAUGCCAAGUCAGCGGUAAAAUCGCGGGGCUCAACCUCGCUCCGCCGUUGAAACUGGCGGUCUUGAGUGGGCGAGAGGUAUGCGGAAUGCGAGGUGUAGCGGUGAAAUGCAUAGAUAUCACGCAGAACUCCGAUUGCGAAGGCAGCAUACCGGCGCCCAACUGACGCUGAGGCACGAAAGCGUGGGUAUCGAACAGGAUUAGAUACCCGUGUAGUC
rnacentral:rRNA from 1 species